rnacentral:rRNA from 1 species
CCCGGGAUCCGAUUAACGCGAAGAACCUUACCUACCCUUGACAUGCCACUAACGAAGCAGAGAUGCAUUAGGUGCUCGAAAGAGAAAGUGGACACAGGUGCUGCAUGGCUGUCGUCAGCUCGUGUCGUGAGAUGUUGGGUUAAGUCCCGCAACGAGCGCAACCCUUGUCUCUAGUUGCUACGAAAGGGCACUCUAGAGAGACUGCCGGUGACAAACCGGAGGAAGGUGGGGAUGACGUCAAGUCCUCAUGGCCCUUAUGGGUAGGGCUUCACACGUCAUACAAUGGUGCAUACAGAGGGUUGCCAAGCCGCGAGGUGGAGCCAAUCCCAGAAAAUGCAUCGUAGUCCGGAUCGUAGUCCGCAACUCGACUAC